rnacentral:rRNA from 1 species
CAGCCGAACGGGAAAUAUUUCAUUGAGACUUCGGUGGAUUUGAUCUAUUUCUAGUGGCGGACGGGUGAGUAACGCGUGGGUAACCUGCCUUAUACAGGGGGAUAACAGUCAGAAAUGGCUGCUAAUACCGCAUAAGCGCACAGAGCUGCAUGGCUCAGUGUGAAAAACUCCGGUGGUAUAAGAUGGACCCGCGUUGGAUUAGCUUGUUGGUGGGGUAACGGCCCACCAAGGCGACGAUCCAUAGCCGGCCUGAGAGGGUGAACGGCCACAUUGGGACUGAGACACGGCCCAGACUCCUACGGGAGGCAGCAGUGGGGAAUAUUGCACAAUGGGGGAAACCCUGAUGCAGCGACGCCGCGUGAGCGAAGAAGUAUUUCGGUAUGUAAAGCUCUAUCAGCAGGGAAGAAAAUGACGGUACCUGACUAAGAAGCCCCGGCUAACUACGUGCCAGCAGCCGCGGUAAUACGUAGGGGGCAAGCGUUAUCCGGAUUUACUGGGUGUAAAGGGAGCGUAGACGGAAUGGCAAGUCUGAUGUGAAAGGCCGGGGCUCAACCCCGGGACUGCAUUGGAAACUGUCAAUCUAGAGUACCGGAGGGGUAAGUGGAAUUCCUAGUGUAGCGGUGAAAUGCGUAGAUAUUAGGAGGAACACCAGUGGCGAAGGCGGCUUACUGGACGGUAACUGACGUUGAGGCUCGAAAGCGUGGGGAGCAAACAGGAUUAGAUACCCUGGUAGUCCACGCCGUAAACGAUGAGUGCUAGGUGUCUGCUUUU